GUGCCAGCAGCCACGGUAAUACCGGCAGCACGAGUGAUGGCCGAUAUUAUUGGGCCUAAAGCGUCCGUAGCUGGCCGGACAAGUCCGUUGGGAAAUCCACCCGCUUAACGGGUGGGCGUCCAGCGGAAACUGUCCGGCUUGGGGCCGGAAGAUCCGAGGGGUACGUCCGGGGUAGGAGUGAAAUCCCGUAAUCCUGGACGGACCACCGAUGGCGAAAGCACCUUGGAAGGACGGAUCCGACAGUGAGGGACGAAAGCUAGGGUCUCGAACCGGAUUAGAUACCCCGGUAGUCC
rnacentral:rRNA from 1 species